AACGAACGCUGGCGGCGUGCCUAAGCACAUGCAAGUCGAGCGCGAAAUGGGGGGGCAACUUCCCCGAGUUAGAGCGGCGCACGGGUGAGUAACACGUGGUAACCUACCUCCGGGCGGGGGAUAACGACUCGAAAGGGUCGCUAAUACCGCAUGAGACCACGGGUCUUCGGAUCCUGGGGCCAAAGGCGGCACCGGCUUGCCGGUGCUGUCACCUGGAGAUGGGCCCGCGUCCGAUUAGCUAGUUGGCAGGGUAACGGCCUACCAAGGCUCCGAUCGGUAGCUGGUCUGAGAGGAUGGCCAGCCACACUGGAACUGGAACACGGUCCAGACUCCUACGGGAGGCAGCAGUGAGGAAUAUUGCGCAAUGGGGGAAACCCUGACGCAGCAACGCCGCGUGGGUGAAGAAGGCCUUCGGGUCGUAAAGCCCUUUCGGACGGGACGAACGCUUCGCGGCGACAACCCGCGAAGCUUGACGGUACCGUAGGAAGAAGCACCGGCUAACUCCGUGCCAGCAGCCGCGGUAA
rnacentral:rRNA from 1 species